ACGGAGAGAUUCAUCGUCAUUCCGCGGCGUGCGUGUGCGUGUCGGAUGUGAUGAGAUUUCGGUUUUGUCACACUGCACGUUGCUCGUGAAAACGUCCGCGGACGGCGUGCACUUCUCUCUUAGUAAUGCAUCGCGACCCGUUCGAUGUCGGUCUAAGCGCCGUUCGGGAGCCCGUUUGUCCCUUUCGGGGGGCGUUCGGACCGUGACGGUUGCCGACCGGCUGUCGGACGGUAUAUAUCGUGAAUCGCGCACGCGUCUUCGACGCGUCCGGCCCGACGCAAGGUUAACUGUGCCAUCGAGCUCCUGCCCGUGUGCGGUAUUCGUUGGUCGGCUCCUGUUGUCGCUGCCGUGUUGUUUCGGACUGUGCGCGUCUCUGUCUGCGAUGAUUCAGUUUCGGGCACUCGCAGGACCCGUCUUGAAACACGGACCAAGGAGUCUAGCAUGUGUGCGAGUCAUUGAGAUUUUUAAACUGAAAGGCACAACGAAAGUGAAGGUGAGCGCUAGUCGCUCGCUCAGGGAGGAUGGAGCGUCGGUCUAGGUCGACCUCUCGCACUCCCGAGGCGUCUCGUUUCCAAUCCGCGAAUGCAGGCGCGCUCUGAGCGCAGAUGCU
rnacentral:rRNA from 1 species